AGUUUGAAGGUAGGCCUUGAAAUACAUCCACAGGUACACCUCUAAUUGACUCAAAAUGAUGUCUAAAUGAUGUCUAAAGCCAUUACAUAAUUUUCUGGAAUUUUCCAAGCUGUUUAAAGGCAGAGUCAACUUUGUGUAUGUAAACUUAUAACCCACUGGAAUUGUGAUAGUGAAUUAUAACUGAAAUAAUCUGUCUGUAAACGAUUGUUGGAAAAAUUACUUGAGCCAUGCACAAAGUAGAUGUCCUAACAGACUUGGCAAAACUACAGUUAACAAGAAAUUUGUGGAGUGGUUGAAAAACAAGUUCUAAUGACACCAACCUAAGUGUAUGUAAACAUCCGACUUCAACUGUACAUAGACAUGGAAUCACUGGACACUUUAAUAAUGUUUACAUAUUGCUUUACUCAUAUAUACGGUAUUCUAUUCUACUGUAUUUUAGUCAAUGCUACUCCGACAUUGUUUGUCCUAAUAUUUCUAUAUUCUUAAUUCCAUUAUUUUACUUUUAGAUAUGUGUAUUGCUGUGAAUUGUAAGAUAGUACUGCACUGUUGGAGCUCGGAACACAAGCAUUUCUCUACACCUGCAAUAACGUGCUAAAUAUGUGUAUGUGACCAAUAAUAUUUGAUUUGAUUCGAUUCAACCCUGGACACCAAGGCCUGAACAUUCUAGAGAUAAUUCAAGAUUAACUAGAAUAUAGAAUGUUGAGGGUUAUCUAAAUUUUAGUGUUGCUGUAUAUAGUCAAAUGUCCUUGUGGAUUUAUUUACACAGGACAGACAAAAUAAAACAUUUUUUGAAGGUGUUUCCUGCUUGGUCUAACAUUUCAUUACAGUUCUCUCUCUGUGUGUGUGUGUGUGUGUGUGUGUGCUCGGACCAGACUUGUAGCACAAUUUUACAGGUAAUCCAGACAGUUCAUCACUGCUGCAGUAGCUAUGGAAACACCAGAAAGGAGCCAUGACAACACAGAAUAACCUGUCUCACUGCAUUCAUCAACAACACUAUGCUCAUCUUCACAGAUUCACAACUAAAACAGAAGCCCCACUCUAAAUUAACUUUUACUGUACUCACUGAGCACUACAAUUCAUGCUGAAAUGUAGGUGUUAGGCUAGCUGCCCAGCAUUGAAUCUGCCCCCCCAAAAAUACAUCAGACUAGCCCAAGGUCGUUCCAGUGGCCUCUCUAUAGACCUGAGAGUCUGAGAGAAAGCCCACUCAUCCAGUAGCUGGUACAUAUCUCAGUCAUCACUCCAGACAGACAGGGCAGAAACAACGCAGCCAGCCGGGGUAGAUACAGGACAGAAACAGAUCAAAGCAUUAUACAGGCGGGGCUGGCGACCACAAACUCAGCAGGUUGGCAUCAUUCUGACUCAAACCAGAAUCAAAACCACUUCAGAUUGCUCUGACUUCUUUUCUUACCUACUUUACAUACGGUAAAGGAGAAUGCUCAUUUACAUAUGCUGAAUGUUCUAGAACAUAGAUAACUAAUAAAGAAGCACUGAGAUAUCAAAAGUCCAGGAUGGACCCUGUCCGCUCUCUGUGUGGUUCAGACGCCUACUGACCUGGCUGCUGCUGACUGUGUGCUGCAGAAGGUUGUAUGGCAGUAGGGUUGACCUGGCCUGGGUCAGGAGGAGGCGUGUGGUUUAGUAUGGCUUGACUAGCCCUGGACA
rnacentral:lncRNA from 13 species